rnacentral:rRNA from 1 species
CUGCUGCCUUCCGUAGGAGUUUGGGCCGCGUCUCAGUCCCAAUGUGGCCGGUCACCCUCUCAGGUCGGCUACUGAUCGUUGCCUUGGUGGGCUAUUAUCUCACCAACUAGCUAAUCAGAUGCGGGCCCAUCUUUUACCGAAUUACUCCUUUCUUUCUUAGAAGAUGCCUUCCAAGAACCGUAUGCGGUAUUAGUCGUCGUUUCCAACGAUUAUUCCACAGUAAAAGGCAGGUUACCCACACGUUACUCACCCGUCCGCCGCUAAAAUAAA